rnacentral:misc_RNA from 1 species
AAGUCGUAACAAGGUUUCCGUAGGUGAACCUGCGGAAGGAUCAUUAAUAAUUCAAACUACACAUGGAGUUUACUCUUUGCUGUCUGUUUAACUAUUAUCCAUUAACAACCUGUGAACUUAUUGAACCAAUCAUGCACUUGCAUGUAAGGAGAGUAUAUCUCUCUUUGCGUGCAUUAGUGCAGUUCUCUUUCGAGAGGGCUGCGCUUCUAACAAAGUGCACCUUUAACAACACCUUUAAACCUUUACAAAUGUCAAGUCUGAUCAGUUAAAAAGCAUCCGCAAGGGUUUACUUUUACAAUUUAUAAACUUAAACAACUUUUAACAAUGGAUCUCUUGGCUCCU